UUAAAAAAAAAAAAUCUAAACUCAUUUAAACUUUUGAUUAAAUAAUAUUAACAAUUAAACUAAAUUUGAUUUAAUUAAAAUUAUAAUAUAAUCUGAUUUAUUUAUUUUUUUUCAAAAAAAUUACCACAAAAAAUCAAUCCCAAAGCUCCGACCAUAGCCCACCACAAUCAAACAUAAUCAAUCCAUUUAUCAAAACAAAAAAUUAAAUCAUACAAACCCACCACUAACCAUGUUCAUCACUAUAGCAGCUCCGACCAUAGCCCACCCCAACUUCUGCAAUCCUCACCACUGAAAGCUCCGCCGCUUUGCAACGAUUGACGUCGUCCAAGUUGGUGCCCUUCUUGAUGCCGACGUGGAGAAAAUGUGGAGACUCAUAUCCACGGGAUAACACAGUCCAACCAUCGACAUGGCUCCUCCGUCGAAGCCCACCCAAAUCUAGAGACCCAUUCCCGAUGUCGGCAGUAGAGGUCUUGUUCUUCACAGUGAAACCCCCAAGCUUCGUUAUCAGAGAAGAUGAAGGUAGAGGCCACGCCUCCCCAUCGCAACCUGUCGUCGCCGAGAUUUGCCUUCAAGCAUGCCUAGAUCCGAAGCUGUGAAUCAUGCUGCUGCCUGUGACGAAGAAGAAGAUGAGGAGAGGAGAGGGAUACCAACAAAUACUCACAGAACUUGACAUUGGAUACUUUUGUCACAACAAUUGUUACACCUCAAAUUUCGAGAUAUAUAAAGCAACAUCAAAAUGCAGGCUCGUAAGUGCGGAGAUCAAAUAUGCAAAUGGUGUUCAACAUGGUUACUUACGUAGAUAGUUAAUCAUUUUAAGAUGCCACAUCACUGACACUCGAGCAUGCAGUGUGAGCUCGAAGGCAAAUGUUCCUUUUGAAGGGCAUUCUCGAAAGACUGACUAGGAUAAGGUGAUGUUAACGUUAUGCUAAGCUCGAAACAUCAUGCAAGCUCGAAAGCGCAUUGGAGCAGCAUCGUGUGUGCGGUUAUAAAUCUCAACAAUUAUGGAUUUAGUUGAAACCGUGCGGGUAUAUAUCACUAUUUUUAAGGGAUGUUUAUUUAAUUAAUACAUUUAAUUUUUUUUAAUGUAUUCUGGUGUAUUUCAAAUUCAAAUGAGAUAUUUUGUAACUUCCCUAAAAUUAAGGGAAGAAUAUUCUAUGAA